rnacentral:tRNA from 1 species
AGUCCCGAGGUAGCGCACGCUAAAAUGCAAAUUUAGAGAGGCACCCUAAAAGGUGCCGGGGCUU